rnacentral:lncRNA from 1 species
AUUUCCUUGGGUUGAUUCCUUUAGCUUUGCUUGUUCUGCAUGAGAAAGAGAACAAAAGCUAAAAAUUUAUUGUUUGAUUUUGAGAUUGAGAGAACAGUCUCGUAGGAAUAAUAGUAGUAGACUUAGGAGAGAAAAUAGAAAAACAAAAGGCUAGAGAAGCUAGCUUGAGUUCUACUUCCAAUACUUUUUCUUCUGUGUCUAUACCUUAGAGGAUAAGGAUAUGGCGGGAAAUCAAGAGGAUGGAAAUGAUAGAGUUAGGCGUACUUUGGAGGAUUAUGCUUCUGUGUCUAUACCUUCAACUUUCAAUAGUAUAGUUCGAACUGUUGUUAAUGCUGCUCAUAUGGAAAUGAAGCCAACAUUGAUUCACCUUAUCCAAAGCAAUCAGUUUAAUGGAUUAUCACACAAAAAUCCUUACACCUAUCUAGCAAACUUUUUAGAGAUCUGUAAUACUGCGAAAAUUCUUCAUGUGCUAGAUGAAGUAAUCAGACUAAGUCUUUUUCCCUUCUCAUUAGCUGGAAAUGCCAAGCUUUAGCUAAAUUCUUUUCCUAAAGGAAGUAUGAUCGUGUGGGAGGAUGUAGUGGCCAAAUUUUUACAUAAAUAUUUUCUCCAAUCCAAGAUCAACACAGGUAAACAAGAAAUAUCCUCCUUUCAACAAGAACUUGAGGAGUCGUUGAGUCAAACAUGGGGAUAAGUUUAAGGGAUAACUAAGAAAGACUCCAAUUCAUGGUUUUGAUGUGCCCACUCAACUAAACCUUUUCUUAGGAGGUUUAAAAUCUCACACUAAGCUAAAGUUAGAUGCCUCGGCUGUAGGUAACAUUAGGUGGAAGAUACCUGAUGAGGCUCAUGAGUUAAUAGAGAAUAUGACAUCCAAUGAUAACGAUUUUCAAAGUGAGAGAGUUCAAACCCAAAAGAAAUUCAUGUUUGAAUUACAAUCCCAAGAUGAUUUAUUGGCCCAAAAUAAAUUCAUGACUCAACAACUUGAAUCUUUGAUGAAAAAAUUGUCACAAUUACCUAAAGAGCUUCAGAAUGUUUCUCAGGCACAACAUCAAGUGGUGCAAAGUUGUGAAUUGUGUGGUGGAGAUCACCAAAAUGGACAUUGUGUUAUUUAGUCCAAUACCAAGGAAGAGGUACAUUACAUGGGAAAUAAUCAAGGUCAUAAAGGCAACUAUGGAAAUUAUAAUCAAGGAUGGAGACCUCAUCCUAGCAUGGGACAAACUAGUUCUUCUAGUAGACCAUCAGCACCACAACAACCUUCUUUGUAUGACAGGACAUCUAAACUUGAAGAGACUCUUCAACAAUUCAUGCAAAUGUCCAUGUCAAACCAAAGAGCACUAAAUCUUCCCUCAGGAAUUUAAAAGUUCAAAUUAGCCAAUUGGCUAAAAAAUUGGAAGAUAAACCUGAGAAAAAUUUUGGAGCAAACACUGAACCAAAUCCUAAAGAGCAUUGUAAGGCUAUCAUUACUAGGAGUGGUAAGGUGUUGGUAGGAGUAGUUGUGAGGAAGGAGGAUGAGAAGGAAAAAGUAAAUGUUGAGAAAGAAGAGGAAGUUGAGAAAAAAGAUAAAAAGAAGGAUGAGGAAGAGAGUCGUAAAGGACAAAAAGUGGUAAAGCCUUUACCUUACCCAGAGACUUAUUCAAGAAAGGAAAAGGAAAGACAAUGUUCGAGGUUUAUGAUUCUUUUUAAGAAGUUGG